rnacentral:rRNA from 1 species
CCUACGGGUGUCAGCAGUGGGGAAUAUUGGACAAUGGGGGCAACCCUGAUCCAGCCAUGCCGCGUGUGUGAAGAAGGCCCUCGGGUUGUAAAGCACUUUCAGUGAGGAAGAACGCCUGGUGGUUAAUACCCAUCAGGAAAGACAUCACUCACAGAAGAAGCACCGGCUAACUCCGUGCCAGCAGCCGCGGUAAUACGGAGGGUGCGAGCGUUAAUCUGAAUUACUGGGCGUAAAGCGCUCGUAGGUGGCUUGAUAAGCCGGUUGUGAAAGCCCCGGGCUCAACCUGGGAAAGGCAUCCGGAACUGUCAAGCUAGAGUGCAGGAGAGGAAGGUAGAAUUCCCGGUGUAGCGGUGAAAUGCGUAGAGAUCGGGAGGAAUACCAGUGGCGAAGGCGGCCUUCUGGACUGACACUGACACUGAGGUGCGAAAGCGUGGGUAGCAAACAGGAUUAGAUACCCUAGUAGUC